rnacentral:lncRNA from 1 species
CAACGGGGUUUCGGGGCUGUGGACCCUGUGCCAGGAAAGGAAGGGCGCAGCUCCUGCAAUGCGGAGCAGCCAGGGCAGUGGGCACCAGGCUUUAGCCUCCCUUUCUCACCCUACAGAGGGCAGGCCCUUCAGCUCCAUUCUCCUCCAAGGCUGCAGAGGGGGCAGGAAUUGGGGGUGACAGGAGAGCUGUAAGGUCUCCAGUGGGUCAUUCUGGGCCCAGAGAUGGGUGCUGAAGCUCCCACGCCUGCCUGUGAAAAUGGAGUCCUCUCUCACCUGGGAGAGCCAGGUGCUGCCCCGAGAAGGAUGCAUUUAUGGCUUCGUGAAGUCUUUCCUGACCCCCGAUGCUGCUGACUAUAGAGACAAAGUCUCACUAUGUUGCUCAGGCUGGUCUUGAACUCCUGGCCUCAAGCGAUCCUCCCACCUCAGCCUCCCAAAGUGUUGGGAUUAUAGACAUGAGCCACUGCACCUGGCCGACCUUGGGCAAGUUCUUAAACCCUUCAAAGCCUCAUUUUUCUCCAAUCACAAAAGGGAAAGAUGGUAAUAUUUUCCCCACCAAAUUCUUGUCGGAUGCCCUCACAGAAUUGAGAUUAUGUACGUAAAACACCAGGUGCCUAACCCGGCACAGAGCAGGAGGGCUAAGCGUGACAUCCAGCACGUGGUCAGUGGAAUCCAGUAUUCCUACCCACCUCUCUAGUCUCCCCUCCACCCCUCUCCCUUUCAGAGGCACCAAGCUGCUUGUGGUCUUGUCUAUUCCCACUCCCUGCCUGACUGAACAUUUUCUCCACCUCCUGAUCAUCAGCAGCAGAAACUGGCUGCUCUUCCUCCUGGGUAGACAGCCAGACUGUAUUUCCCAGCUGCCCCUGCAGUGAGAUGUGGCCAUCGGAGCCAGCAUUGGCCAAUGGACUCUGCAUGGGAGUGACGCAUGCUGCCUCCAGGCUUGUCCCUAAAACCUCCCACGUGUCCUCCGCCUGCUCUUCCCACCUCCAAGGAGCACGGCAAUUGUGGAAGACCCAGAUUAGUGAUGGCAGAACCAUAGAUGGGAGGAACCUGGGUCCCUGACUUAAAGUAUCAUGGAUUUGGAUGUUCCCUUAGUGAGAAAUAAACUUCCAUUGUGUUUAAGCCUUUAUUUGUUUAUAGUUGGUUACAGCAACUGCCUUCUUUUAAUUAAAACACUCCUGCUGCU